UUAAUUUGGCUUCUCUUGGGGUUCCCCCUGGGUUUUCCAUUUCUUCCCGACUUUAUCGCCCACCCUAGCGGCCCUGCUCGGGCCUCCCUGGCGCCGCGGCAGCCCCUCGGUCCGGGCUCCCGAGGCACAUGCGCGCCGCCUGGCCGCAGGUGGGGGAGGGAAGGGGUCGGCGCUAGCGGAAGCGCCCGGUUGGCAGAGGCGCGCUCGCCCCGUUUUGUUCCUGAACCUUCCACCCGAAUGGGGAGCGGUCCUGGACCUUGUUGGUUAGCGCCCAACCCUCUGCCCGGCCCAGCGUUUCCACUCAGGGACGGGAGACGAGUGCUGGGGUCCCUCGGUGAUGAGACCUAUCACAGACCUGUACUGAUGCUCUGUGAGGACAACAGAAGCUCCUGAGGGGGAACCCGCGUCCCCAGCGCCCCAUCCCCCUCGUUCUCAGCGCCCUUAACGUCUGUUUUCUCCCGCAGGAGGCCCCGGAGCUGCCCUCCUGUCCUGCCAUUGGUUAAGGUUGGUCCAGGAGACCUUCCAGAGCGGAGUGGUGAUGGAAGCUUACUUGGAUUAUUCUCCAGCUGUGUGGGCUUCCUUUUCUUUGGAUGGGACCUGAAAGUAUUGGAGAUCUCCUUGAGCCAUGCUAUCUUCACCUUUCUCCUUAAUAAGGGGACAUGCUGACUACUGGUACUGCUCCAGGCUGAGAAGAUGAGGGUGCUUCACAACUGCUUUCCAUUGACUGGCAAAUUCUUGAGAAAAGUAGAUCCUUUUAAGAGCUACCUUAGAAGACUAGCUAUGAGACCCAUCAAUUGCUAAAUGAUUGCAGGCUCUGACCUCCUGACCUGGGAUAGCAGCAAAAGCAGAUUACUAUACUGUCUAGGUGGGCCUGGCGUGGCAAAGAAACUGGAGUAGGAACUGGAGCCUAGGCCAUGGAUCAGACUGAAGACAGAAAAUACUAUGCAAGGAUGUGGCAUUGAAUACUUCUCAAAAACCUUGUUUUUUGCAAAUAAAGCUUUGUUUCUCUUUGA